rnacentral:lncRNA from 1 species
GGCACUCCUCAGAAGCUGCAGGCCUGAGCCAGGGCACAGGGCACAGGCUUGGCAAGUGGAUUGGGAGGGAUGGUUCAGCCACCACCUCCAGCCUGGCCAGGUGUGUGUGGGUCGGGUCCUUGGUUCACAGAGGCCUUCAGCCCAGCACCCCUUCCCUCCUCCUCACUGUGCACUGUGCGUCAGCACACUGGCCACUUUGUGUUCCUCUAACACAGGUUCUCCAAGUCCAGUCCCCAAGCCAGCUGCACAGCAACACCUGGGACGCAAAUUUUUGGCCCCUACCUCUGGUUUACUGAAUCAGAAGCUGCUGGUGGGCCUGGUGGCUUGUUUUCAGGAGCCUGGGGGUUGGGGUUCUGGUGCAUGCUGGUGGGCCCCUUAUGUCCUACCUGCAGGCUAGAGGAAGUACCACUUACUUGGUCGUGUUCUUGUGCAGAGUACCUAGGACUUCCAGGUGGAGCAAAGAUCCUAAAAACACCUUCGAUUCUUGCUUUAUCUACACUAAAGUUCUGUACCCAAGCCAGAGCAGUUGAACGCCCACUCCCCACCCCCUGAAUGUGGCAAAACCAGCCAAUUCCACCACAAAAUGUUGUCUCCCCUUCAUUCAGUUCACAUGGAUUGGGCACCUUCUGUGAGACACUGUGCAGGCUUGGAGGACAAGGGGUGGAAGAGGCAAACGGAAUCUGUGCUCCCCCCAAGUUGAGGGCAUACAUGGGAGGAACAUGUGAGAGCUGGGCUUGAAACUCCACCUAACACCCCCCAAAUGUGAGACCUGGGCCACUCACCAGUGCUCCAUGGAGAUGGCGAUACAGGACUGCUCAGAGUUGGGGUGGGGGUUAGUAAGGGCUGGGUCUUUACUGGCCUAAGCCAAUCAGGACCUUCCCCUCCUUGACCGUUAUUGGUGGAGGCCCAGGUGUCUGACUGGAGAGAUGUGGGGGCUGUUUUGCCCCCACCCCAGCGGUGGGGGAACUUGCAGAAUGGUUUUCCCAGCUCUCAAGAGGCGAGAGGAGGAAACAGCUGUCCUGUGACCUCAUCCUGUGUGUGGGUGAUGCUUUAAACUCUGGCAACUGUCUGGGUGUCGUGAGGAUGAUGGUUGGAGCUCCCAACUAGGACAGGCAGGAGGGGAGAAGGAAGAGCUGGGUCCUUCAUGAUGCGGUAAACAGCUAGAUCGACCAGCCGAGGCUGGAGCUCCUCCAUCCCCUCCUCUUGACACCAAGCAAGUCACCUCAAGCCACACUGGGCUUAUCUCUCCUUGGAACUGGAAGUGUCAGCCAGUCACAUAUCUGGGGCAGGCUUCUUGGGGUUGCACCCUGCACACCAUGUGAUGCCCUGAAGUUGGUCUUGGGGUUCUUGAUCAGCAGGGGAGUCUGCCCUGGGCCCUGCUCCUGUGCAUGUCUGUGCAGUGUCUGAACUCCACGUUCAGGCCAGGUGUCCUUAGUUCAGGUUCCUGGAUAGGAGGGCCUGAUCUCAUUUACCUGGGCAGAUGGUCCUUAUCUCAUAUCACUUGUGAUGUACCCUGAGUGCACCAUAGACACUGGCAGGGAGCAGGAGGGAGCCAUGGCUCGGUGGACUUCCUUCCUCCCUUGUACAUCCUGCAUCCCGCAGUGACCAUUUCAGAUGUCUCCUGCUUCUGGAAGUCUUGCCAGACCACCCCCACCUCAGUACGCCUGCACAAAGUUCUCCACUGAGCCUCCCCAAGGACACCCACCCCAUGCUUCAUGCAGCAAAGACCAGCUGUCGCCUGCCCAGGCCUUGCUUCAGCUUGGCACCUGUGUGCAAUGAGGGAAGCGGGUCUCACCCGGCUUCCCAGCCCCCGGGGUGAGAAUUCCUUUGGCAGCAAAUUUAGCUCCUACCCCCCUAAAGCAGCCUGGUUCCUUUGUAGCAUGCCUGUAAUUAUUACUCAAAACAAUAAUUAACGUUUUCUGUCUGUAUGGUGCUUUGAAGCCACAAGGUCCUCCAGGGCAAGGAUGGGGUUCGGUUCAUUGCUGGGUCUGCAGCCUCUGGCGCCAGGAGGCUCAGGUUGUUAUUGGACAGAUGGAUGAUGGGUGAGUAAGCGAGCCGCGGAGAGCCCAGGAAGGAGAAGCCUAAGUGAACAGCACCCGUCCAUGCAGC